rnacentral:tRNA from 1 species
GCACCCGUAGCUCAGUAGGAUAGAGCGGCGGUUUCCUAAACCGCAGGUCGUUGGUUCGAAUCCAAUCGGGUGUA